rnacentral:rRNA from 1 species
GGGCCCGCACAAGCGGUGGAGCAUGUGGUUUAAUUCGAUGAUACGCGAGGAACCUUACCAGGGCUUAAAUGUAGUGGGACAGGUCUAGAGAUAGACCUUUCUUCGGACUCAUUACAAGGUGCUGCAUGGUUGUCGUCAGCUCGUGCCGUGAGGUGUCAGGUUAAGUCCUAUAACGAGCGCAACCCCUAUCGUUAGUUGCCAGCGGGUCAUGCCGGGAACUCUAGCGAAACUGCCGGUGCAAACCGAGAGGAAGGUGGGGAUGACGUCAAAUCAUCACGGCCCUUACGUCCUGGGCCACACACGUGCUACAAUGGCCGGUACAGAGAGCAGCGAAGUCGCGAGGCCAAGCAAAUCCCUUAAAACCGUUCGUAGUCCGGAUUGGAGUCUGCAACUCGACUCCAUGAAGUCGGAAUCGCUAGUAAUCG